GCUGGGCGUGGUGACACAUACCUGUAAUCCCAGUGGUUUAGGAGGCUGAGGCAGGAGAAUCACAAGUUCAAGGUCAGCCUCAGCAAUUUAGUGAGGCUUUAAGCAAUUUAGUGAGAGGCUGCCUCUA
rnacentral:sRNA from 1 species